CAUCAUCCCCCAACUGGAUUGCAGCAGCUUUGGAGUGUGUCAGUCAGGUCAUUCCUCCUGGGGCUGAUGUCUGCGCCCUGUCUCCAGCCCCCCAACUCUUGAGUGUCAGACAUGUUUUGUCCCGCUCCGCCCGCCUGGCUCUGGCCAGCUGCUGGUGGCACCAACUCCAGGAGGGGGGCACCAUCUGCCACAAGUGCCGGGGCAGAGGAGGGGGUCUUUGCUUCCCAUGGCCUGGGCACCCCACAGCACCCCCAAACUGAGUCAAAGACCUUGCCGAAGCUCUCCACCUGCCAUGGAAGGCUUGGAUGGAGAGGGGAUGUGUGGAAGGUAACCGGUUCCCCCCCUCGCAGCCCAGGCAGGUACCCUUACCCCCAGGGGGUGGGGACAGGUGGGUGGGGGUCCUUCCAUCUCUAGGAGCCCCCAUCUCACUCGGGGGCUAGGGCAGGCUGUUGCCCAGCUUGUGCCACCACGGCGAGCCCCUCGCUGCCAGUCCUAACGUGCUGUGGAACCUGUGGGGGCAGAAGCCUCCUUGGGUAGCAUUACAAAGCCUGGGGGUCAGGAAGUGUCUCCAGGUGGAGAGAGCACCCCACCCCCAGCUCAUCUAAUCAUCUCUUGUGGCAGGGACUAGCACAGCACCCCCCGCCCCCACCACCGUUGGAGUACCUGAGGCCAGGAGCACACUCCAGACUAUUGGGGCGCGUGGAUGUAGAGCCACCCUGGCGUGGCCCCCAUCCUGUGCAUCUGCCCAGGGGUCCUGCACUGGGGUCCCAUGGGGCAGCCAGCUAGCACAUGGGAAGGACGGGGCGGAGCGGAGGGGUGACCCAGCUGCCGAUUUCUUUGCUGAGAAGCUUGGCCCUUUGCUUGUUCCCCAGCUCCCAGGCAGUCCCUAACGGACAGAUGGAAGCCAAGCCCCAUGUCUUCUCUGCCCUAGCACAGCCGGGGAGGGGGGGGAACUAGAUGCUCCCAUCUCCAUUCCCCACUUGUGGCCCCCAGUUGAGCAUUGCUGCCCUGAGGCCUGCGAUGUGGCUCGGCCCUGGCGAUUGCACCAGCAGGGGGCACGCCCCUCCCGCCCGUGUGCCCCUGGGGCCUUGCACCCUUUUGUAUGUGACUUUCCGCCAAGCUGUUCGUUUAUUUAUAAGACUUUAACAAAUCCCUUUGCCCUUCUCUCGGGGAGGAGCGGGUCCCAGUCCUCCCUGGGGCUCAGGGAGCCAGCUGGGAAAUGUGUGUGGGGGGAUAUUCUAUGUUUUUCCUCUCUUUCCCAGUUUGUAAUUCUUGCUUUUGUUUCUUUUUCUUAGCCAGAACCAAACUGUUAAAGCCAUAAACUGCUGCCCAGGGGAGGGGAGCAGGCAGUGCCAAAUGCUUCUUAAACUGGGGGGAACAACCCCAAGGCUGGGCUGGGGGGAUGCCUGAUGUAGCCUUGUGGGGGGCAGAUGUGUGUCCCCCCUAGGAAUCCCAGGCCCUGUUCCUACUGGAAGGCACUCGGGCAGGGAGGUCAUUUCCCCCUCGGCGAGCCCAGCCCCUGCAUCUCAUGCUAAGGGUGGAGUAAGGCUCCACUCUGGACCAGCCUCGGUGGAGGGGUCGGGGGACAGGAGCAGAAUGUGAAUGCGAUUGGUGUGGGGGAAAGUGCCACCCACUCGGCCUGAGUCUCAGAGAGGCCAAGCUCCCGCAGCUCCCCCAUUGAGCCAGGGCUGCAUCCAGGGUGUGGAGCCCCUCUGAGCCAGGCACCGUGGUACUGGAGCCCUCUUUGUUCCAGGGCAUAAUUUAUAACCGUUAACUUUAAUUCUCCUUUGACAACAUCCAGCAGAGGGGUCUGACCUUGCUCCUACAGCCAGCCGAGGGGGGCUUGCUCCCUGCCGCUGCGGGCUCUGGUCCUUGACUGGGAGAUGGACACAGGGCCACGGGCCAGCCUUUGGCCCGUCCGCCCAGCUACAGCACAGAGCGUUCGAGGCCGCGCCUGCCUGUGGGAGUUCUGCCGAGGCUCCCUGCCCAUGCUGCAAUGGUUUUUUUUAAAUUGAUCUGUAAAUAAAGAGAAAGAAACCUUUCUA
ensembl:lncRNA